rnacentral:rRNA from 1 species
AACAAACGCUGGCGGCGUGCCUAAUACAUGCAAGUCGAACGGGGAAAGCUUUCGGGUGAGUACUAGUGGCGCACGGGUGAGGAACGCGUGGAUAAUCUGCCUUAGAGUGGGGGAUAACUAGUCGAAAGAUUAGCUAAUACCGCAUAAGACCACAGGAGCUGCGGCUCUAGGGGUCAAAGGUUUUUCGCUCUAAGAUGAGUCCGCGUAAGAUUAGCUAGUUGGUGAGGUAACGGCUCACCAAGGCGACGAUCUUUAACUGGUCUGAGAGGAUGAUCAGUCACACGGGAACGGAGACACGGUCCAGACUCCUACGGGAGGCAGCAGUAGGGAAUAUUGCACAAUGGAGGAAACUCUGAUGCAGCGACGCCGCGUGAGUGAUGAAGGCCUUCGGGUCGUAAAGCUCUGUCGCAGGGGAAUAACACAAUGAAUGUACCCUGUAAGAAAGGAUCGGCUAACUUCGUGCCAGCCGCCGCCGUAACAC